rnacentral:rRNA from 1 species
UACGUAGGGGGCAAGCGUUGUCCGGAUUUAUUGGGCGUAAAGAGCGUGUAGGCGGCCAAACAGGUCAGCUGUGAAAACUCGAGGCUCAACCUCGAGACGUCGGUUGAAACCGUUUGGCUAGGGUCCGGAAGAGGAGAGUGGAAUUCCCGGUGUAGCGGUGAAAUGCGCAGAUAUCGGGAAGAACACCCGUGGCGAAGGCGGCUCUCUGGGACGGUACUGACGCUGAGACGCGAAAGCGUGGGGAGCGAACAGG